rnacentral:rRNA from 2 species
UGGGCUGUUCGCCCAUUAAAGCGGUACGCGAGCUGGGUUCAGAACGUCGUGAGACAGUUCGGUCCCUAUCCGUCGUGGGCGCAGGAAAUUUGAGAGGAGCUGUCCUUAGUACGAGAGGACCGGGAUGGACGCACCGCUGGUGUACCAGUUGUCUUGCCAAAGGCAUCGCUGGGUAGCUAUGUGCGGACGGGAUAAGUGCUGAAAGCAUCUAAGCAUGAAGCCCCCCUCAAGAUGAGAUUUCCCAUAGCGCAAGCUAGUAAGAUCCCUGAAAGAUGAUCAGGUUGAUAGGUCAGAGGUGGAAGCGCGGUGACGUGUGGAGCUGACUGAUACUAAUCGAUCGAGGACUUAACCUUA